rnacentral:misc_RNA from 1 species
UUUCCUCCUUUGUGACCUUCGGGUUGCAAGGGGGACACGGUAGCGGCACCUGUGUCCCGAACAUGCCUCGACGCUAUGUUGUGGUUGUCACGGUCCUCGGGUGAUUGCUAGUGCUCUCGGAUUCGGAAUACUACGUGGGUGCGGGGGUCUCUGGCCCCCCGAACGCUCGAAAUAGUCCCUUGACACGGAUGACCGUCGUGGCUGCACAAAUCCGUAGCCGAAAGGCACGCGGGUUUGUGCAGUUCGCGACGUCCGAAA